GGGGACACGUCAAUUUUCAUCGUUUGAUCGUGUUCAUUCGUUAACGGAAGCCUUGUCAGUAUCAGUCUGCCCUCUGGCGGGCGACACCCGCCUGUAGCUGGAAAUUUUUCCCUCUCAAGGAUUAACAACCAGCUGCUACAUGCUAAAGUUUCAUGUAGUUCACAGAUCAAACGCGGGUGGCCUCCCAAUUCAUUAUCUUUCUUCGACUUCUCCUACCGGGUGCCCGACCUUGAAGAGCUAUUCGUUGAAGAUCAUAAGCGUCUAAUCGCGCGUGGGUCGAAUAGAUAUUUCUGCUCCUAGGAUCGGUAUUCAGUUUGGUCCCAUCUCGAGUCGAAAACGCUUGGCUUACUAGGUUUAGAGAGAAGAUGAAGAGGGAAAUGGUACCUUUCGGGGGGUUAAGAUAUGACCGUAGCAGCUCUGCGAAGAGCCUGAUGGACUAGUUCCGUAGGUGAACCUGCGGAAGGAUCAUUAACGAGAGGGGGCCUCGGGCCCCGCACCUCUAUACCCUUAUGCGUACCUUCCAUCGUUGCUUCGGCGGUCCUCCGGGGGGUUCCCGGCGUCGGCUCCCAACCUGAGGGGUCCGCGAGCGCCCGCCAGAAGCCCUUUUAAAACCUGUUUUAUCCGUGAAGUCUGAGCUUACGAAUCAACCAAAACUUUCAACAACGGAUCUCUUGGUUCUGGCAUCGAUGAAGAACGCAGCGAAAUGCGAUAAGUAAUGUGAAUUGCAGAAUUCAGUGAAUCAUCGAAUCUUUGAACGCACAUUGCGCCCCUCGGAAUUCCGGGGGGCAUGCCUGUUCGAGCGUCAUUAAACCUCUCAAGCUCUGCUUGGUAUUGGGCGCCCGCUUUCCCCGUUCCAGGGGGGGCGCGCCCGAAAUUCAGUGGCGGUCCCGGGAGACUUCGAGCGCAGUAACUGAACCCGCUUUGGAAGCCUUCUGCCGGUGGCUCGGCCCAGUGAACCCGUUUGGCUUCAAGAAUUGACCUCGGAUCAGGUAGGGAUACCCGCUGAACUUAAGCAUAUCACUAAGCGGAGGAAAAGAAACCAACCGGAUGC
rnacentral:sRNA from 1 species